AGAAUAAGAGAAAAGAAAGCUAAAAAGCCUACCAAUAAUUUUAUUGGAUGCGGUGACGUUCAAGUCUAAAAAGUACAUAAAACCAAAAGGGGGCAAAGAGCUAACAUCAGUCCAGUAUAUAGGUAGACUCUUCAGCUGGUCUAGUUGCUGGAAAAUGGAUACCGAAAGGUAUGCAGGGAGCCAUCCAACAGUUACAACAACAAGGACAUCAGAAAGAGCUCAACAUUUACCAGCUUUACAAAAAAUAUAGUAGAUAUUAGACUUGUACUAUUUGUCUAACGGUGUUAGUUACUUUGCCCUGACGAGCUGUAACAGGCAAAACCAAAUACGCAAAUAAAUAAAAGUGACGAAUAUAAAACCAGUAAUAAAUUAUGAUAUAUUAAGAUGUCAGUGAACUGUUUAGCACUGGUUGAACAGUUUAAGGGAUGAGGUUCUUGAUGUAUAUAUAGAAAGUGUGUGAGAGCUAGUAAUUAGUUUAGAGAUGGCCCAUGAGUUCCUUGUAUUUGGUACAGUCGAGACACCAACACUGGCAUUUGUCCAUGGUUUCACUGCAAGAUAGUCUCACCUUGGUCCACUGGCAGUGCUGCACACCUGGUAGUGAUCUAUUGGGUAGUACAACUCAGGAGAUUCUUGCACAAUACAGAACCUCUCACAUACCAGUAUUGGCCUGCCAUCCUGAAACCACCACUUUCAUGUAUAUGGUCUACACUCAUUUGCUGUUGCUAGGAUGCCAUGCCAAGAUAGUAUUUAUAUAGUCAAACCAUAGAUGUGACCACCUUGAAUGUUCAUGGGGAACUUAUAUAAUAUGUCUGGAAAACUUUGUUUGUGUACCAAACAUUAUACUUGUUAACUUGUUUGAAACUGCUGUUUCUUUUCAGGUACAUGUACUUGUAGAAUAAAUUAUUGUGAAGUG